rnacentral:lncRNA from 1 species
GGGAAAGGCCACAAAAGCACUCAAUGAAUUUUGUUUUUUUUUUUGUGUGUGUAUUGGGGAUUGAACUCAGGGGCACUCUAUCACUGAGCCACAUCCCCAGCCCUAUUUAGUAUUUUAUUUAGGACAGGGUCUCACUGAGUUGCUUAGCGCCUUGGGCUGAGGUUGGCUUUGAACUUGCCAUCCUCCUGUCUCAGACUCCCAAACUGCUGAGAUUACAGGCGUCUGCCACUGCGCCCGACUAGAAGACAUGACUUUUAAUAUGACAUAUCUCUUGCUGUUUGGCUGACCAGAGUCCAGAUGCCUAGGCAUGGCAUCCAAGACUCUCUGGCUCCCAACGACCUUUCCAGAGUCAUCCUCACCACCCUGCCCCCAUCUCGCUUUAGAACUCCUCUCAUCAGCAAGUUAUCCCCUUUGGGCAAUUUGCUCCCCUUCUCUUCCUCAUAACCAUACCAUUGGAAAGCCUUGCCUUGACAUGAGCCAAGCUCAAGUCCUUCCUAUGUUACUUUCUCCCUGUAUCCUUCACCCUCUCUAGUUAUUUUCUUUUCCUUCUCUUCCCAGCUAAAGUUUAUGAAAUCGUCUGCACUUACAUUCUGAGCUUCCUUAACAUCUUUGUUCCCCACCUCACAGUAUUUGGGAUUAAGCUCCCUCCACCUCACUGAGACUGCCUUACCACAAAUACUAUUUGGUCCUUCUCUUAACUGACACAUCAACAUAAGGACUAUGAUCUGUUCAAAGUUGCCAGCCCAUCUUUGAUUUGGUCAUUUUCCCCUUGUCUGUGUACAGUGUUAAAAGGAAAUAUAACUAGGAUAGGAAUAGAAUAAACAGCAUCAUUACUUUGUGCUAGUCCUUCAUGAAUUUGUUACCAGCUUGGCUCCUAAAGGCAUUUGUGUUUGCUAUAGUGAAGGCUCUUCUCUUAGCUUCUUAGACUUUUUCUCAGUACCUAGGCAGUAUGUUGUAGUGGGCAGAAUAUGAGCUUUGGAGCUUGGCUUGAAUCCUAAACCUGUCUCUAACCAGCUGUGUGAACUUGGAUACAUAACUUAAUCUUUC